ACUUUACUAGUAUAAUGUCAUAAUGGUAAACAAAAUAAAUUAUGAAUGUUAAUUAAAACAAGUAUCUACCUACUCAGGUACUUCAAUUUUAAAUAAUAAUACUUCACAAUGUGCUUUUUUAUAAUACUUUAAUUUGCAAUGUAAAAAUAAUUCAAUUCAAAAUAGGUGUUUUAUUACCUAAAACUAAUAUAAUGCAUGAUAAUUGGAUACCAACUUGGAAACUUCAUUUUCAAAUUGUUUGUCAAACAUGUUAUUCUGCAUAGUUUACAAUUUUUAUUUAAACAUUGUAUACAAAUGGACCACUUACAUUGUCUCAUAGGAUAUCAUAUUAUAAUAAAACAAUACAAUACUAUACAAAUACCAAGUCAAAACUUUUAAAUUCAUCUGCAAAUUCUUUAUUUGGCGACUAUUUAAUUUGUAUAUUUAAUUGUAAAAAUUAGUAAUUCAUAAUAAAUUACACUGAACUAUGAGCAACUAUAUCUAUGACUAGACAAUACAAUUUGAUUUGACUAGCAAAUGUUUCAUAACUGUACCAGUACACUGAUAUUUGAUAUUUAUGUAAAUUAUUAUGGAAUCAAAUAUAUUUCUGUAAUAUAAUAUAGUCUCUGAACAAACUACUCAAUUAAUUGUAUUGUAAAGUUAAUUAUUACAAAGAGGGAAAUAUUAAGUCAGCCUACUUAAAGGUUAUGUUAUUAAAUUGUAAUACAAUUCCUCAUAAGUAGCAUUAUGAGGUUGUUAAAAUAGAAAAUUUUA